rnacentral:rRNA from 1 species
AAAAAGCAGGUGAAAUUGUUGAAAGGGAAGGGCUUGCAAUUAGACUUGCCCGCAGUUGUUCAGCUGGUCUUCUGACCGGUUUAUUCUUCUGCGGGCAGGCCAGCAUCAGUUUCGGCGGCCGGAUAAAGGCUCUGGGAAUGUGGCUGUCCUUCGGGGCAGUGUUAUAGCCCAGGGUGUAAUACGGCCAGCCGGGACUGAGGUCCGCGCUUCGGCUAGGAUGCUGGCGUAAUGAUUGUAAGCCGCCCGUCUUGUAACACGGACCAAGCAGUCUAACGUGUAUGCGAG